rnacentral:lncRNA from 1 species
AAUCCUUAACUGGAUAGCGUCCAAAAAUUAAGAUAUUAUGUAACUAAUAAUUCUCCUCCCCAUUCUUUUUAAAUUAGGUUGGCUCGUUAUGUUAAAUAUCUCAUUAAGAUGUAUCUCGACCAAAAAUAAAAAUAAAUAAAAAAUAAUUUCAACUAUGAAUAAAAUGUCUGAAAAGGCCCCUUCACUUUUCAGAGAUGGC